AUGUCUAAGUCAUAGAGUUUGUAUUAAGGUUGUAAAAGUGUAAAUUUUUGUUUAUUGGAUUGAUCAUGCAGGAGGUUAUCGUUUGGUGAUUGCGAUGAUCUUCCUUUUAUGACUUAUUGGUUGUAUACGAACUUUGUGUUAUAUUUUGUCACGAAAUCGCCAAAGGGGGAGAUUGUUAAGGAUUUUAUAGGUUGGCGAAUUUCGU
rnacentral:lncRNA from 1 species